rnacentral:rRNA from 1 species
UGAAGGGGGGCCCCCCCGGACCAAAAAACUGACACUNUCAGAAGAGGAAAGNGUGGGGAGCCAAACCAGGAUUAGAAUACCCUGGUAGUUCACACCGUAAAACGAAGUNUACUUGGAAGGNUGUGGCCCUGAGCCGUGGCUUUCGGAGCUAAACGCGUUAAGUAGACCGCCCUGGGGAGUACGGUCGCAAGAUUAAAACUCAANUGAAUUGACGGGGGCCCGCACAAGCGGUGGAGCAUGUGGUUUAAUUCGAUGCAACGCGAAGAACCUUACCUACUCUUGACAUCUACAGAAGCCAGCGGAGACGCAGGUGUGCCUUCGGGAACUGUAAGACAGGUGCUGCAUGGCUGUCGUCAGCUCGUGUUGUGAAAUGUUGGGUUAAGUCCCGCAACGAGCGCAACCCUUAUCCUUGUUUGCCAGCACUUCGGGUGGGAACUCCAGGGAGACUGCCGGUGAUAAACCGGAGGAAGGUGGGGACGACGUCAAGUCAUCAUGGCCCUUACGAGUAGGGCUACACACGUGCUACAAUGGCGCAUACAGAGGGCGGCCAACUUGCGAAAGUGAGCGAAUCCCAAAAAGUGCGUCGUAGUCCGGAUUGGAGUCUGCAACUCGACUCCAUGAAGUCGGAAUCGCUAGUAAUCGUGGAUCAGAAUGCCACGGUGAAUACGUUCCCGGGCCUUGUACACACCGCCCGUCACACCAUGGGAGUGGGCUGCAAAAGAAGUGGGUAGUUUAACCUUCGGGAGGACGCUCACCACUUUGUGGUUCAUGACUGGGGUGAAGUCGUAACAAGGUAACCG